UGGUUCCGGCAUCGAUGAAGAACGCAGCGAAAUGCGAUAAGUAAUGCGAAUUGCAGAAUUCCGUGAGCCAUCGAAUCUUUGAACGCACAUUGCGCCCCUUGGUAUUCCGGGGGGCAUGCCUGUUCGAGCGUCAUAAGCACCAAUCCAGCCUGCUGGGUAUUGGGCUCCGCUAACAAGCGGCCCCUAAAGAUGCUGGCGGUGCCGCCCGGCUCCACGCGUAGUACAUCUCUCGCGAUGGUCUCCGGGCGGUCACUAGCCACUAAGCCUACUUUUACCAAGUUGACCUCGGAUCAGGUAGGGAUACCCGCUGA
rnacentral:misc_RNA from 1 species